UUGCUGCUUACAGGAAACUCAUCU
rnacentral:piRNA from 1 species